rnacentral:tRNA from 1 species
GGUGAGGUGGCCGAGAGGCUGAAGGCGCUCCCCUGCUAAGGGAGNNGGGAGUAUACGGUUUAUAGCCGUAUCGAGGGUUCGAAUCCCUCCUUCACCGCCA